GAUGAACGCUGGCGGCGUGCUUAAUACAUGCAAGUCGAGCGAACAGACGAGGAGCUUGCUGCUCUGACGUUAGCGGCGGACGGGUGAGUAACACGUGGAUAACCUACCUAUAAGACUGGGAGAACUUCGGGAAACCGGAGCGAAUACCGGAUAAUAUAUUGAACCGCAUGGUUCAAUAGUGAAAGACGGUUUUGCUGUCACUUAUAGAUGGAUCCGCGCCGCAUUAGCUAGUUGGUAAGGUAACGGCUUACCAAGGCAACGAUGCGUAGCCGACCUGAGAGGGUGAUCGGCCACACUGGAAGUGAGACACGGUCCAGACUCCUACGGGAGGCAGCAGUAGGGAAUCUUACGCAAUGGGCGGAAGCCUGACGGAGCAACGCCGCGUGAGUGAUGAAGGUCUUCGGAUCGUAAAACUCUGUUAUUAGGGGAGAACAAAUGUGUAAGUAACUAUGCACGUCUUGACGGUACCUAGUCAAGGAGCCACGGCUAACUACGUG
rnacentral:rRNA from 1 species